rnacentral:rRNA from 1 species
GACGAACGCGGCGGCGUGCCUAAUACAUGCAAGUCGAGCGGACAGAUGGGAGCUUGCUCCCUGAUGUUAGCGGCGGACGGGUGAGUAACACGUGGGUAACCUGCCUGUAAGACUGGGAUAACUCCGGGAAACCGGGGCUAAUACCGGAUGGUUGUUUGAACCGCAUGGUUCAAACAUAAAAGGUGGCUUCGGCUACCACUUACAGGUGGACCCGCGGCGCAUUAGCUAGUUGGUGAGGUAACGGCUCACCAAGGCAACGAUGCGUAGCCGACCUGAGAGGGUGAUCGGCCACACUGGGACUGAGACACGGCCCAGACUCCUACGGGAGGCAGCAGUAGGGAAUCUUCCGCAAUGGACGAAAGUCUGACGGAGCAACGCCGCGUGAGUGAUGAAGGUUUUCGGAUCGUAAAGCUCUGUUGUUAGGGAAGAACAAGUACCGUUCGAAU